GGAGAGGUGGCAGAGCGGCUGAUUGCACCACCUUGCUAAGGUGGGGAAGGGAUUACUCUCUUCCGGGGGUUCGAAUCCCCCCCUCUCCGCCA
rnacentral:tRNA from 1 species